rnacentral:lncRNA from 1 species
AUGGGGAAUUUCGUGAAAAGUCUCCUGUUGGUUGGUAAAGCCUGCUCUGCCCUGAGAAAGGAGCUGGGGUCCCCAGGAUUUUGGGGAGCCUGCAGGAAGGAAAGGGCCCUGGUGCAAGGUAGGGGGCUGGAGGGGUGGUUGUGGCCCUUUAGAGCCACCCGAGCCCCUGCUCCCCUCGCAUCCCAGCUCCAAAGGGCUGAGCCUGGAAUUUGGGCUUGGCUCCUGCCCUGCCUGGUUCGGGGCAAGGGCUGGAGACCUUGCUGUGGGGUAGGAAAAACCUCUUCCCAUCCUGACCGGUGCAGCCCUACCCGUGUUUCGGAGGGCACCUGGACGCACCGAGCUGCAAAUCCCAAACCACAGCACAAUGGAACCACCCAGGGGACACCAAACCCCAAAAACCAAGCGAAGAGCCAUCACCUGAACCUCGCGGGCAGCCCAGGAGCAGCUUCAUGGCCAGGAACCUACAGACAGGGGGAUGUCGGGACACCACGCCGGGUGGGUACCAACGUCCCCAAGCAUCCCUCUCGCUGCGCCACCCGGCCACCACGCUCAGCCCCAGGGCCUGACGCAGGGGACAAGGCCCUGGGGGGGGGCUCUGGUGCUGUCCCCGUCUGGUGCUGUCAGCCCUCGGCUCAUCCCCAUCCACGGCAGAGACUCGGUGGCUCCACAGCAGAACGAAACCAGCUGGGAUUUCGGCACGAAGGAGCCGGGAGCGGUGCCAGGAGCGACCUCCCAGCGCAGGAGCAGCUCCCAGAGCCCCUCGUGAGACCCCAGCGAGGCACAAGCAACCCCCAAACCCCCCCCCCCCCCGGCGCACCACCCCCCCCCCCCCCUCCCCCCACCCCCCCCGGGGGGGGNNNNNNNNNNGAAAAAAAAACAGUGACUUUUGCAGACCUCAGCUUGGAAAGGGCUUGGUCCAUGCCCAAAGGGCUCCAACCUGGCUGCAGCUCCAAGGGGACCUCAGCCGGGCUGCCCUGGUGGUGCAGGACCCUGCUGCAGCCCUGGGGGGGUCCCAGCUCGCCCCCUCCGUGCUGCUCCACCGCUGCUCCCCAUGGCCAAGCCGCUGCUGCCCUCCGCCGGCCGCUGCCCACCCUGCACCCAUGGGUGCUGCCCUCCUGCUUCAGCCAGGACCCCCCCUCCAGGCUGCUCCUGCUGGGGUGGCAGAGGGAAAGGACCCCUCCUGCCCCCAGCAGACCCCUCAGCUCUCACCUCUCUCCCCAGAAGCCCCCAGGGAGGCUGCUUGGGGUCUUUUUGGGGAAGGCAGCCAGGGAUGGGGCUGAGCCCAGCAAACUCAUUUCGUUUGUGGCUGGAGCUCCCCCAGCUCCACUUGGACCCCUUCCUCCUGGAGGAAAAGCUUCAAAGGGGUGA